UAGGGAAUCUUCCGCAAUGGACGAAAGUCUGACGGAGCAACGCCGCGUGAGUGAAGAAGGAUUUCGGUUCGUAAAACUCUGUUGUUAGGGAAGAAAAAAUGUAUAGUAACUAUAUACAAAAGAGACGGUACCUAACCAGAAAGCCACGGCUAACUACGUGCCAGCAGCCGCGGUAAUACGUAGGUGGCAAGCGUUGUCCGGAAUUAUUGGGCGUAAAGCGCGCGCAGGUGGUUUAGAAAGUCUGAUGUGAAAGCCCACGGCUCAACCGUGGAGGGUCAUUGGAAACUAAUAAACUUGAGUGCAGGAGAGAAAAGUGGAAUUCCUAGUGUAGCGGUGAAAUGCGUAGAGAUUAGGAGGAACACCGGUGGCGAAGGCGACUUUCUGGACGAAAACUGACGCUGAGGCGCGAAAGCGUGGGGAGCAAACAGG
rnacentral:rRNA from 1 species